rnacentral:rRNA from 1 species
CGUGCUUAAUACAUGCAAGUCAACUUGACUUUAGAUAGCAAUAUCGAAAGUAGGGUGGCGCACGGGUGCGUAACGCGUAGGUAAUCUGCCCUGAGGUCUGACAUAACCCGUCGAAAGGCGGGCUAACAUCAGAUGAUAUAUAAUCACGACAUCGUGGAAAUAUCAAAUCUUCGGAGCCUUGGGAUGAGCCUGCGUCUGAUUAGGUAGUUGGCGGAGUAAUAGCCCACCAAGCCUACGAUCAGUAGCUGGUCUGAGAGGAUGAUCAGCCACACUGGAACUGAGACACGGUCCAGACUCCUACGGGAGGCAGCAGUAAGGAAUAUUGCUCAAUGGGGGGAAACCCUGAAGCAGCAACGCCGCGUGAAGGAUGAAAUACUUUGUAUGUAAACUUCUGUAAGAUGGGAAAAAUAUUCUCCUCGGGAGAAUUGAUUGUACCAUCAGAGUAAGCCCCGGCUAACUACGUG